rnacentral:rRNA from 1 species
GACGAACGCUGGCGGCGUGCCUAAUACAUGCAAGUCGAACGCUUCUUUCCUCCCGAGUGCUUGCACUCAAUUGGAAAGAGGAGUGGCGGACGGGUGAGUAACACGUGGGUAACCUACCCAUCAGAGGGGGAUAACACUUGGAAACAGGUGCUAAUACCGCAUAACAGUUUAUGCCGCAUGGCAUAAGAGUGAAAGGCGCUUUCGGGUGUCGCUGAUGGAUGGACCCGCGGUGCAUUAGCUAGUUGGUGAGGUAACGGCUCACCAAGGCCACGAUGCAUAGCCGACCUGAGAGGGUGAUAGGCCACACUGGGACUGAGACACGGCCCAGACUCCUACGGGAGGCAGCAGUAGGGAAUCUUCGGCAAUGGACGAAAGUCUGACCGAGCAACGCCGCGUGAGUGAAGAAGGUUUUCGGAUCGUAAAACUCUGUUGUUAGAGAAGAACAAGGACGUUAGUAACUGAACGUCCCCUGACGGUAUCUAACCAGAAAGCCACGGCUAACUACGUG